rnacentral:rRNA from 1 species
GACGAACGCUGGCGGCGUGCUUAACACAUGCAAGUCGAGCGGUAAGGCCCUUUCGGGGGUACACGAGCGGCGAACGGGUGAGUAACACGUGGGUGACCUGCCCUCAGCUCUGGGAUAAGCCUGGGAAACCGGGUCUAAUACUGGAUAUGACUCCAUGACGCAUGUUGGUGGGGUAGAAAGCCUUGUGCGGCUGAGGAUGGGCCCGCGGCCUAUCAGCUUGUUGGUGGGGUGANGGCCUACCAAGGCGACGACGGGUAGCCGGCCUGAGAGGGCGACCGGCCACACUGGGACUGAGACACGG